rnacentral:rRNA from 1 species
AUUGAACGCUGGCGGCAGGCCUAACACAUGCAAGUCGAGCGGAUGACGGGAGCUUGCUCCUGGAUUCAGCGGCGGACGGGUGAGUAAUGCCUAGGAAUCUGCCUGGUAGUGGGGGACAACGUUUCGAAAGGAACGCUAAUACCGCAUACGUCCUACGGGAGAAAGCAGGGGACCUUCGGGUCUUGCGCUAUCAGAUGAGCCUAGGUCGGAUUAGCUUGUUGGUGAGGUAAUGGCUCACCAAGGCGACGAUCUGUAACUGGUCUGAGAGGAUGAUCAGUCACACUGGAACUGAGACACGGUCCAGACUCCUACGGGAGGCAGCAGUGGGGAAUAUUGGACAAUGGGCGAAAGCCUGAUCCAGCCAUGUCGCGUGUGUGAAGAAGGUCUUCGGAUUGUAAAGCACUUUAAGUUGGGAGGAAGGGUUGUAGAUUAAUACUCUGCAAUUUUGACGUUACCGACAGAAUAAGCACCGGCUAACUCUGUGCCAGCCGCCGCCGUAAGAC